CAGAGUCCUGAUUGGACUCAGGAGGUGGGCGGGCGCCCUGACCAACUGGGCGGGCGCCCAGGGUCUGGCCCCGUUUCGCCUCCACUUCGAUCUCGUGGCUUUUGGAGUCUUCUAGAUGUAAGAUAAUUGCGCGGCACGUUAAUAUCUCUAUGUAAUCCCGACGUGUGGGCCUUUCUUCUGUAUUUCCUGAUAACCCCCUGUAGAAAUAGACAAACACCAAAACUCGUGGAAUUCUGUCAGAUAAAACCCUAAGUCUAGAUGUUGAUUUCAUUUGGAUCCUUUUCUUUAUUUAUUUGAUAAUUAAAUUUGAUACUUAAGGACCGUCAACAAACUCCCCCAAGCUUACCUCUUGCUCGUCCCUGAGCAAGGAUAGACUCAGCUAUGGAUGAUAAGUUGUUGCAAUAUAUUUUUUUUAAAAAAAAAUUUGACGUACACAUGCUUUUAAACAAGAUCUCAUCUCUGAGUUAGAGUAAACUGUCAAGACUUAAAACUUACUUACUUUACCUUCACCAUGGGACUUGUAACUGUCACUUCUAUCUUGAGUAGUUAAAAGAUAGAACAGUCUAGUCAAGUGCCAUGUAUCUUAUUCUUGAUCAGCUAUAGCUCUGAAGUUUUUGCAGAUUUUUAAAUAAAACUCAAAAUUCCUUGUAUGAUUCUCUCAGAUCUCUCUUUUGUGGUAUUUCUGGAUCCUUACCAAGGCAGUGAUGGUAUAUGCCUUCUCUCAAGAUAUGUAGUAUUUGUGGUAUAAGGCAUAGUGACAUUGCCUUCUCUCUCACCCUACUCUAAUAAGGCUUUAAUAUCUGGAGCUCAUAGGUGGGAAAUAAAGUAUACAUACUUACAAGACAUGUAUUGCAUAGUCAAACCAUGGAUCCAAAGAAACAAGCCAAUGAGUUUAAUCAAGAUGUGCAUGUGUGGCGAAUGAAUGAUGUAUGGUGAUGAUGGUAAUAACAAUGGUGAAAACAAUGGUGGUGGAAGUCUAAUUCUACUUUGCUCUUUUGAGGGGAUACAUACAUUUCUUGCUUUUUUUUUAAACUUUAUGAGGAGAAUGAGAUGCUCUUCUUUUUUUUCUCUCAGGUGGAUAUCUUGUACCCCUAAUUCUACUGUCGGACACUUGUCCAUUUUUACCUCUCGUCUCACUCUCUUUUUUCUUUCGAGGUUCCGAGCACUUGCUCCUUUUUAUUUCCUCGUAUUUCUCUUUUUUUUAGAGCAUUCAUCUCUUGAGAUAAUAUAGCAAGUGGUAGUAACAAGAUAACUUGAGCAGUUAUUUCACAAGGGAAAACAAAAAAUUUUUUGGCUAUUCUCUCCCGGAUUAGGAGUAGAAUAUUUUUGGGUGAUUCUGGAGAUGGAAUGGGUGGAUAUAUGUGGAUGGUACUUCCGGAGUAGAAGUAGCAUAUAUGAGUGAACGUGCAAGUGAAUCUUGAUUUAACCACAUGACAAGUUCCUAAGGGUCUACACAGCUUGACCACACUCAAUGCUCAUAAGCAGUAAAUAGUACAUGUGUAGCUUAAAGUCUAGCAAGCAUGUAUAUAUGGCUAUGGUAGGAAUUUAAACUCUCAUCAUACAGAAACUCAUCAUGCAACAUUUUAAAGAUUUUCAAAGAUAAAAUUCUCCAGAAUUCUAGUAUCUCUAGGAACAGAUAAACAGCAGCUCAACCUUCCCAUAUCGUAUCCGUUAACAACUUAGACUUCAGAUCAAGUUUUCAUCCCACAAGUUUAGGUCUAGAGCAAGCUUUAAAUUAUAACAGUUAUAUCUAAACUUGAGAGAGAACUUAAAAUGUGCAAAUUAGGCAGAGCAACUAUUCAUCAUUUCCAUGCUUAAGUUUUAUUUAGAUACAGAUUAGCAUAGCCACUUUAUUUAUUUAUUAAACACACUAAGCAAAAGAUAUAUAAAUAAGCAUAAAAUCUUUAUUUGGUUUUUUCAUAGUUAUGUAUAUUUAAUAUUCUAAUAUAAUAUAAGUAUAAAGAUAGAUAGAAAUACUUAUCGAGAUAAAUGGGGGUGCUCUCCCCCAAGCUGAAUUUUGACGUAAUUUCUCUUGAUGUAGUUAGCAGGUGGCAGAGGUGUAUUUGAAAGUCAGCAGCAUUCUGACAGCGAUUAGAAUGUCCUCCGUCUGCUAGUCUUCUUGAUUCUUAAAUUCUGCGGAGCUCAAAUAGACAACAAAGCUUGUGGAACUGAUUAAGUGUUAGCAUAAAUAUCUAGCCUUUAUCAUCUUGAGACUCCUUAAUAAUUAUUACUCCCUGUUUUUAUAUUUUUAUUUUAUAAAGCAGAAAAGAAAUUUUUAUUUUAUUUUUAUGCCACCAUAGUGAAUGUACUUAUGGGUUUUAUGCCACUCACAUACUCACAUGGGCUUACUGUUUUUCGCAUUUUUAUUUUCUUUUAUUUUUAAGAUAGUACGAACAUGAUUAACUAAGUAAACUAGUUGAAAUAAUUGAAAGGGAAAGGAUAACUACCAAGUUUACCUCUCGGCAAGGCGUUCGGUGUUUUUUAAGUCCUCCGAACGGGACUCUCCAUUUUUUCAAUCGUCCUGAGGUUCGUUGGGUGGCGUAGUCGGUGCUUCCGGUGGCGCCUCCUCUUCAUGUAUAGUUAUCUUCAUUUUCCACACCUGACUUGGUGCUUCGGUCUCCUCUGGAUAAUUCUGUUUAAACUCUACGUUUUCUGACCUUAUAACUUCUCCUUCGUAGUCUGCCCAUCCGUCCUUGAUGAUCUGCCUCCUCUGGUUGCGGUUGCGUCGUUUCCUUACCUGCUUAGAUUCUUCAACGAUAUAGUUAGGGUCAGUAAAAUAAAGGCGUACCUUCUCUGAGGGGAAGUGCAUAUGGACUUCUCCGGUUCCAAUGUAGAUAAUUGCUUUAACGGUGCUGAGGAACGGUCUUCCAAGGAUGAUGGGUGGAUCGUACUCGUCUUCUCCCUUGUCAAAAACUUGAAAGUCUGUGUAGACAAAGUGAUCGUCUAUUUUGACUGGGACAUUAGUUACUAUUACUUUAACUUCUCGAAAUGUCUGAUCUGCCAUCUGGAGUUGAAUGUAUGUUGGUCUUAGUGGCAUGGAUCCAAACAAGAGCCGAUAGGUGACUGCGGCCAUUAUGUUGACGCCCGAUCCGGUGUCACAAGUUGCCUUGUAGAAGUUGUAUCCAUUGAUGGAGCAGUAGAUGCUUGGCAUUCCUGGGUCGUCCUUCUUGGUCAAAAGCGGUGACUUAAGUUGGUGAUCUUGGCCUCCAUGAACUACAGUGACCAUCUUCGCUGACUCGGUCCACACUUGCUUGUUCCUGUUCCUCCUGUUGGUCCUCUUCCUUGAUUGACGUCUGGAUUGAUCUGGAAUUUGUGUAGUCUUGUUCUUGAAGAAAAAUGUCUCCUUCUUCCCUUUGACGUAGAAACUGAUCUUAGCAGCACUAGCGUAGAUGAUAGCUCCCGUGGUGUUCAAGAAUGGCCUCCCUAAGAUGAUGGGUGCUCUCUCAUCAUUUCCGGUCUCUACCACUACGAAGUCUGCUGGGGCAUAUAAGGUACCAACUCGGACACAAAGGUUCUUCACUAUUCCUUUUGGAAAAGUUAUCGUCUGAUCUGCAAACUGCAAACACAUGGUUGUUUCUAAUAAAUGAUAUGUAAAGAAUUUUUCAUAGAGUACCCUGGGUAUAAUAUUGACACUGGAGCCAAAGUCGCAGAGUGCUUCUGGAACGUCCACCAUGCCGAUAGAGAUCGGGAUGACGGGGCGUCCUGGAUCGCCUCUCUUGACCGGCAGAAGGUCAGUAGAGAAUUCAGUGACGGGGUUACUCCAAUUACCUACAUCAAAUGUGUCUACAAGAUUUGCAGAUUCUAAUCCUUCCGGUUGUGAUGGUAUACCGGGGUUAGUAGCAGGAACAGCAACAGCUAUUUGAUUUAACUGAGAUUCAAUCAUUUUAUUAAAGCUAAUUUGAUUCUUGAUGGCAGUAGAGAAAUUAUCCAUUCUAUUAUUUAUAUUUUCUAGCAUUUUAUCAUUAGAUGCCAAUUUCUUAGAUAGAUUAUCCAUUAGCUUUCCUUGAUUAGACACUAACUCUCUCAGAGGUGGAAAAUUAUUAUUAUUGUUGUAAGAAUUGUUACCUUGAUAAUUACCUGAGUAGUUAGGCCUCUGUUGAUUCCAACCUUGAUUUUGUUGAGGACGGUUGUAGUAGUUGUAGUUGUUGUUGAUGUAGUUCACAUCCUCAAGCAUCUCAGGGCAGUGGUUGCCUGAGUGUCCAGUGUCUCCACACUCCUCACAAGUCAUGUGAGAGUCGUAGAUGUGCAUAACUUCUUUCUUGUCUCUAGCUCUAUCGUCGAGCUUCUUCAUGAGCAGGUCUAGCUUUGCAGACAGCAUGUCUACCUCUUUCAGCUGAUGCAUACCUCCACCUCUCUUGCGUGUCUGGGUCCUCUCUUCAUUCCAGCUCUGGUUGGACGCCAUCUUCUCCACAAGAGCUGUGGCUUGUGGUAUUGUGAGUGAUAAGAAUGCUCCUCCAGCUGCAGCAUCCAUGGUCUCUCGGGCACUGUUGCCGAGCCCAUGAUAAAAUGUCUGCAUCAAUAGCCAACUCUCCAUUCCAUGAUGGGGACAUUCUAGGAUGUAGUCUUGAAAGCGCUCCCAUGCUUCUGGAACAGAUUCAUCAUUUUGUUGCUGAAAACUUGUAAUCUUCCCACGGAGAGCAUUGGUCUUGCCCAUGGGAAAGAACUUUGCCAGGAAGUUUGUUGAGCAGAGUGCCCACGUAGUAUUCUUCUCCUUUGUAGCGUAGAACCACUGCUUCGCCCUUCCUAACAGUGAGAAUGGGAAGAGGCGAAGUAGUAUAGCAUCUUUGGAAACUCCUGAUAUGGUUAAUGUGUUGCAAAUCUCCAGGAAGUGUUGUAAAUAAGCACUAGCAUCUUCGUGUGCCUUCCCACAGAACUGGUUGGAUUGCACCAUGUUGAUAAGUCCAGGCUUGAGCUCAAAGUUGCCAUCGAUCUCUGCAGUAGGUCCAGUGCGGAUGUUGUCCGUAGUGGGAGCUGAGAACUCGCGGAUUGAUUUGUUCGCCAUGGCUUCAAACUCUGAAGACAAGUUCCGGUGAUCUUCUUGAUUGGAUGAAGCUUCUUGCUAAAGUGUUGAUGAUUUCUUUAGCUUGGCUCUCGUCUUCUUGAAUAAUGCUUCGGGAUUGUCAACAAAAUUUUCUAGAAGAUGUCUUCUAUUCAUACAUUCCCCUGCAUAAGAUGAAAUAGGAAAAUAUCGGGGUAAAACUGUAUGAGAGAAUAGAUAAUCUCAAUCAUAUUAGUGAUGCGAAUGAUAACUCAAAAUCUUUUAUUCUAUUCCUGAUUAGUAAUCAACCUUCCCCGGUAACGGCGCCAAAAAUGCUUGUUGGGUAUUCUUAACAUCAUUACCAAAAGUAGACUAAGUUCCCUAAAUCUAGUAACGGUGCCAAAAAUGCCAAACCUAUCCCUCACACCACUUAAGCCAAGUUGUCAUCCCCAGCAUGACAUGAGAGACGCGGUGUUGAAAUAUGCAAUUACUCUUCUAAAUAAAUAAUGAAUGGGAUCUGCAAGCGCACAGAUUAAUACUGAUGCAGCAUUUUAACCGGGAAGUGUUCCAAGUAUCGUUAUUUAUAUUUUUUCCACUGGGAAGGGAUUAGCAAUCAUCAAUAUUGAUUACAGAAUAGAAUAUGAGAUUGAGCAUCUAUCAUUGCAGUUAUAAUUGAGAACAUUAUAUCUAACUCUUCAUACAGGGAUAAGUGUCACAUAAAAGAUAUAUGAAAUAAUAAUAGUGACAAGGAUAAUUAAUCUGAUCUAGCCACAUAAUAAAUAUGAUAAGCACCUCAAUUAGAUACUCUAGAAAGUCAUUAGCAUGGUAUUAGAACGAACUACAAGAAUAUUCCCUAAGUUAUUCUCAACUAUAUAGUCUAGCAUUAUCAUAGUUAGUGCAAGCAUACUUAGCAAUCAUUGCGAGACAAGACUACGCCCAUGCAUAGUGAUAUUAGCAAGGAAUAUGAGAAACAUAGCAAUCACUCCCCUGUAAUAAUGUUGCUCUACCAGCCAAUACACGAGAGGGGGACUAUAUAAGAAUCAAUGAAGCUGUCACUAUCACAAACCACCCCACGAUCUGGCAUAUUGGGUACAAUCGCAGAUAAAUACGGUAUAAGCAACACGCCUACACAAUAUCUAUCAUUUACCCAUGGAUCCGAUGGAUAAACGCUAUAAGAUCCUAAGCAUGUAUAUAGAUCGAAUCUAACUAAGCCAAGUACAUAACUAUGAUAAACUAAGAACAAUAUAAUCUUGAAUAUAAGCAAGUAGAGCAAAGUCAUAAGCAAUAUAUUGAAGUAGAACAAAGUCAUAUUCAUAAUAUUGAAGAACAAAGAUAAUUAGAAAGCAAUUAGAAGCACAAUUAGAGAAUUACCAAGAAUCCUCUUGACAGAUCCGGAAACCAAUCGAAGAUUGACUCCUUCUAGUUCUAAUCCUAUGUAGCUAUGCUAAUCCAGAUAUCUAAUUGAUGUGGUGGCUCUAAUCUUGAUCAGAGGCUUCUUCUCCCUUGAAGAACAAUGAAUUAGGGUUGAGAGGCUCUCUCCUCCAGGGGCCAGGGGGUCUGGUUUUAUAGUCCCUUCAAGUGAAUAUGGGCCGUUGGAUCAAACUGACAUAUAUUGUAUGGUUUAGAUUCAUCCUUUAGGUUGGUGGAAAUCUCCCGCAAAGCAGAGUCCUGAUUGGACUCAUGAGGUGGGCGGGCGCCCUGACCAACUGGGCGGGCGCCCAGGGUCUGGCCCCGUUUCGCCUCCGCUUCGGUCUCGUGGCUUCUGGAGUCUUCUAGAUGUAAGAUAAUUGCGCGGCACGUUAAUAUCUCUAUGUAAUCCCGACUUGUGGGCCUUUCUUCUUUAUUUCCUCAUAACCCCCUGCAGAAAUAGACAAACACCAAAACUCGUGGAAUUCUGUCAGAUAAAACCCUAAGUCUAGAUGUUGAUUUCAUUUGGAUCCUUUUCUUUAUUUAUUUGAUAAUUAAAUUUGAUACUUAAGGACCGUCAACAGUCUCAUCAAAAUUGCCAAAAAAAUCAGGAAAAUAAAUAAAAAAACUGACAAGGGAUUUGCACGCUUUUCACAGAACUUGAUGAAUUUCUGUAGACCACAUCUGACCUCAGUUGUAGUUGCCAAUUUUUGUGGUUACAUCUUUUGUGAUACUUGUUCAGAGAAAAAUAUAAAAAAAUAGUGAAAAAAUAAAAAAUCUUGAUUCCUACUAGUGCCUUUUGGGAAAAUCCUAGAAAAAUCAGGAUAAAGGAAAAAUCUGCUCUAUUGCUUGUUCGCUAAGUUUCUUCCAUCAUACUUUGUUUCACCUUAUUGCGCUAUGUCUAGACACGUCUUAACCCACAAUUGUGAUUUGUCCUUUAGAUACUUAUUGAACUUAGCUAACUCUGCAUUCGAAUAUUGCUAAUCCUAGCUACUUAAACUGUGCCUGUCCAAAGCUCCACAUAUACUUUUGUCAGCACAGGUUCAUCUUACAACUGUUUACCCAUGCUCAACAAUAGAUUACUUUGCCAAUUUGGUUUUGCUCAUGUUUGGCUUUGGUAAGAUCACUUGUAAGAUAGUGGUAAGCCACUUCUGAUUUUGUUUUCCACUUUUCCCACCACCACCACCACUUGGUUCCUUUUAGUUGAUAGGGAUAAUCCUUUGCUAUUGUUUUUCCCUAUUUUCUAACCAUCGCAGGAUCUCCGACGAAUUUCAAUGAUUGUGUGUCCAAGGGUGAACUUACAACAUUCAUCACUGAACAGCGCAAUCUUAUGAACGAGCUGACACGCAAUGUGAACAAUCUAGUCACCCGCAUUGAACAGAUUGAGCAACGCCCUCAAUCUCAUCAUGGUGAUGAUGAAGAUGCAGAUGGAGAUCUAUCUGAUCAUGAAGAUGUGGACGAUGACAAUGAUGCCCACAACCGUCGCCACUACAACUUCAAUCGUCGCGGUGUGGGAGGUAAUAAUCAUGGUAAUAAUGAUCCUUUUGCUAAAAUUAAAUUUAGCCUACCUCCUUUUGCUGGUAAUGUUGAUCCUCAGGCAUAUUUAUAUUGGGAGCUUGCUGUUCAACAAAAAUUUGAUUCACAUAAUGUGCCUGCUGAGCAUAGAGUUAGACUUGCUACUAGUGAGUUUACUAAUUUUGCUUUGUUUUGGUGGAGUGAUCUUUGCAAUACUAAUAAUGUUGUUGUUGUGCCUCAAACUUGGAAUGCUUUAAAACAACGUAUGAAAUCUCGUUUUGUUCCUCCUUAUUAUCAACGUGAUUUACAUCUUAAACUACAACUUUAAAACAAGGAGAUAAAAGCGUAGAAGCAUAUUAUCAAGAAUUGCUUAUUGGUUUAGCAUGUUGUGGUGUACAUGAAGAUGAUGUUGAUGCUAGUGCUAGUUUUUUUGGUGGUUUAAAUCAUGAUAUCUAGAACAUUCUUGAUUACAAAGAAUGGCGUAAUUUUUCCCAAUUGUAUCAUCUUGCUAUAAAGGCAGAACGUGAAGUACACGGACGCAAGCAACACCAGUCUUUCAAGUCUAAUAAUGGAAGGAUUUUUCAGCAGCGUUCCGAGCCAGAGACGCUCAAGAUUUCUGUUGCACCACAACCAUCUACACCUGUAUUUUCUUCUGGGGUAAGUAAAUUGUCUAAUGUGCAGCCCCCACAGCUGAAGAAAGGUGCCACUCCGAGUGCUUCCACUAGUUCCUACUUGUCCAGCGCUAAAAUCAUUUGCCAUUGAUGCAAAGGCAUGGGACAUGUCAUGAAAGAUUGCCCCAGUCGCCGUGCCUUCAUUGCUACCGAGGAUGGAUAUGUAAGUGCUAGUGAUGUUGAAGAUGAUUUAGCCCUUGUUGCUAACAUUGCUGCAGAUUCCACCGAGGGUGAUCAAGACACAGAGACCAUUGCCAUUGACUCCGUUGCUGCCUCCGUGGGCUAUCCUAGCCUUCUUGUGCAUCAUGUGUUGAGUUCACGUGUGGUACAUGAAGAAGAGAAGCAGAUCCAGCGCCACAAUUUGUUCCACAUAUAUCUUAUUGUGCAGGGUUGUCAUGUUCUCACCAUCAUUGAUAGCGGGAGUUGCAACAACUUGGUGAGUUCAGAUUUGGUUGAGAAGCUUGGCUUAACCACAUGACAACAUUCGUAUCCAUAUAAACUUCAAUGGUUCAAUAAUAGUGGUAUGACUAAGGUAACUAAAUCAGCCCGCAUUAGUUUCUUCACAGGUUGUUAUCAUGAUACUGCUGAUUUUGAUGUUGUGCCUAUGCAAGCUUGUUCAAUUUUGUUAGCACGUCCAUGGGAAUUUGAUAAUGAUGCUUUACACCAUGGUAGAACUAAUACAUACACUUUCAUAGAUAAGAACAAGAACAUUACUUUGCUGCCUUUGUCACCAAUGGAUAUUGUUAAACAUGCUAAAGAGAUUAACAAUAAACCUUCCAUAGUCAUUGAUACAAAUAAUGGAAAAAAGUUACAUGGAGGUGCUUUACUUGCUACAACUUCUACUACUGCUGCGUUAUGUGAUAAUCUAGAUGCACCAUAUUAUACUAUGCUUUGUCAACCUAUUAUCUCUUGUGCAUUGCCUGGUGUCACUAAUCUUUUGUAGAAGUUUGUUGAUGGGGAAGAGUCGAGGACGACUUCAAUUAUAGAAGAAGGGGAUGAUGAGGACAUCACCAAGAUGGAGUCGAGGAUGACUCCAAUUCAAGAAGGGGAGAAUAAUGAGGACAUCGCCACGCUGGAUACGUUGACACCAUCGUCUUUUCCAAGUUGCAAUUCAUCUCCAAUUCAGCUACCACGUUACUCUCGGAUUCAGCAAACACGUCGUCAGUGUUUUGGUCAUAACUUCUUCAUACGACAUCAAAACAGGGUGAUGUUGGACUCAUUGGAAAUGGGACGACGACGCCGUCGCCUUGGAUCUGGUGCCAGCUCCAUAUCUUUCGUGGAUUAAUCUUUAUGUCCACAACAAGGUGCUCUGUCACCUAUUUUGGGCCAACAUGGUCAUGUAUCGAAUUCGGGCCUUAAGACCAUGUUGUGGGCGCCUCCCCCUGGUCGCCUCCAACCCUAGGUCGCUUCUCCUUUAUAUUCCAUGCAGUUGCUGCUGUUUAGACUUGGGUUUUGUUUAGAGUUUAGUUUUCUAUUGAGAAACAGAAUCGUUCAAUGUAACUGUGGUAACAAAUCCUUUUACAGUAUUAAGAUCAUAGACUUUGAAAUAAAUCCUUUUACAGGUGUUAAUAGCCGUCAACAUUGACCUCAUAGACUUUGAAACUGCAAGUAUUAAGCUCAUUAUCGUCAAGAUUAAUCAUAGCCCAAAACCAUCAAUGGAGCCAUCUAAUAAAAAAGGAUACAGACUGACCAAGGCGCUAGGGUGGAUAAUUGCUCCUAUUUCUAUGAAUUUUCUUGUCUUAGGUUCCUAAGGUUUUACAGAAAAGAUUAGGAUAAUGAACCAAUAGUCGACAUUGUAAUAUAGUUUAGUCCAUACAGACUCAACUUAGAGUCAUAGGAAGUACAUAGGAACCUAACCCCAUCUUGUUAUCUUCUUGACUAACUAGACUACUUUGUUUUCAUUGACUCGACAUUUAUCCUGUGUGUGCCUAUGUCAAUUGUCAUAACUCCUAUCAUUUCACUUACGCCACUUUAGUUUAUAUGGUACAUUAAUUAAUAAAUACAUCUUUGUUAGGUAUCAACAUUCUUUAUCUAUUGCAUUCAUGAGGAUAAAUAUGAUAUAUUGAAAUAAUGAGUAAUAGCUACAAUGAUAUCCAUGUGCUUGUCAAUUAUAUAUAUAAGUCUUAGGAAUUGCCAAUAAUAGCCAAAAUGAUAUGAAAUGCAUGACAACAAACAUUUUGAUCACAUUUAGCUUAUGGGAGUUGGGUACUUCAUCACAUUCGCUUCUACAUGCACACUUAAUUUAAAAAUAACACUUAGAUCCAUAAACUAAUACCACUCAAAUUCCGAUGAAAGGGUCUAAAAAAACAAAUUAUUUUUAUUACAAAACUACUUUUAUUAAGGGAAACAUCUUAUUUAUCAAGUAAAAAACAAUGAAAGUAUAUUAUUAUACUAGAAAAUGAUAUUUUAACGUAAACAAUAAUUAUUGGUUUCUAACUUUGUUUAGUAUAACUAUUGCCUACAAUGAAUUGAUACAAUUUUUAGAACCAUAUAGAUAUGCCAUCCAUAUUUUCUAUGAUGAGAUAUACCUAAAUUAAAUGAAAUAUUAAUAUGUCCCAAACAAUCAUCGACUACUUGUCCUAUAAAAGCACCCACAUACCCCUUGGCUACUUCACACUACACUGGUACAUCUAGCUAGAGUAAUAUUACUGUCAAUUCCAAUGAAUUCUUUGGAAGCCAUGGCAAUAGGGACUAAAAAUGGUGGCUCGAACCCAAAGCAGAUGACAUCUUUGCUUCAACCCCUACCAUAUAAGUGCUACUUAUGCCCCAAGAGCUUCAAGAACACCCAAGGUCGUGGCGGACAUAUGGCAAAGUAUCAUAGUAAUCACAGGGAGAUGAGGAGGAAAAAUGAGGAACAUGUGGAUAAGAAGCGCAAGAGUUUGAUCAUGGAGAUGCUCCCACCAAACAAGGAAUAUUGGAUGAGAUACCAUAAUGGCAAGGUGAUACCAUAUGAGUUUGUCUUCAAAUCAGUGAAAGCAGAUUCUACUUUACCUAGAGAAGUUGAAUCAAGUGAAUGUUUAUCAUUACAUCAAAGCAUGAAUGACAAAAAAGUGAAAAUCCAGGAUAAGGGAUACUUGGACACCAACAAAGUGGACCUCACCUUGAAGCUUUGAUGUUUUACCUUACUACCUAGGAAGUGUUGAAGGCCUCCUAGCAAUAAAACCUAGUGCUUGAUCGGGCAAGUCAUAAGUAGUUGAUGACAAACAACUCUGCCUAUGUCAUUUUUAUGUUUGAUUUCAUAUGUAAUCGCUUUUUAGAUUCGGCAAAGUUUUCUUCGUAUCAAUAAAGUUUGGUUUCCUAUAAUCUCAAAGAGCACCUCUCUGAGCUCUUUGAGUGCCAUCCAUUUUCUAUAUAGUAGUUCUCCUAACUCCUUAAGUGCCACGAUAAGUUAUACUAACCUAUCGAGAUGCUCGGGGGCUACAAUUACUUACUACUACUUGCGUUCUCACUAGUUUGAAAACAAGUUAUGGCAAAAGUGAUAGGUGAAUGACUAGGCUUAUUUUGCCAAAAUUCCCUAGAGGUUGUGGCCAGAUCCUUAGUCAGAUAGACCUAGACUUAAAUAGAAUCAGAUGCUAAGACAAAGGAAACAAAAGUAAAGCUAAGUAUCACCACUAGUAGAAAUUUCCACUUCUAUGAUGAAUUGAUUUUGUCACUAAAAGUGCCAAAUUAUUCAUUGAAGGUGCCAAAAUUUGUCACGUUUCAAUUUUGUGAUGAAUUUAUGACAAAAUGUGGAUCAUCGCAAAAGCUGCAUCAAAUUUAAUCGUCUAUGAUGAAUUUGAAAUUUGUCAUAGAAGAAGUGAUGUUCUAUGACAAGAACUGGGUGUCAUAGAAAAAACAGAUCAUCAUAGGCCUAAUUUUGGCAUGCAUGGCAGGAGGUUGCCACGCUGUCGGUUUCUUCCAAUGGAGUUGCUUUCUAUGUGUACUUGCUAUAGCUGAUUCCAUUGGAGCUAGUUCGAUUACGUGUUAGCUUGUAAUUGGACAAGAUGACCAUCUCUAGUUCUUGCACAUCGUAGGUUCCUAAUGGACCACAUGUCAAUUUUUUACUAGCUCAUGUUUCAUGUUGCGUUUGGGUCACGUGUCUAUUUUGUGGCUUUAGGGUGAUUGGGUAGAUGGAAACUUAUCAAGCAUGUUUUUGGUUUUCGCUCCUAGUGUAGGAGUAGAAUACUUUUGGGUGGAUCUAUAUGAAAGGUAUGUUGUUGCAUAUUCUAGUGUAGAAGCAGCAUAUUUGGGUCGAGUGUAUGUGAUCUUGAUUUUAAGAGCACGACAAGUCUUUAAGGGCCAACAAAGCUUGACAAUAGUCAAUGUAAAGCUAGCACUAAAUAUAUGAAAGCUUUCCUAGUCUAGAUAGCAUGUAUGGCUAUGGUAGGAAUUCAUGCUUUGUCAUAUAGGAACCCAUCAUGUAGCAUUUAUGUUUUCAAAAAGUAAAUAUCUAGAACUCUAGUGUUACCUGGAACAAAAUAAAUAGCAUCUCAGACCUUCUCAUAUCACAUACUCAAUUACCUAGACAUAGAUCAAGCAUUUGCUACCCACAAGUUUCAAGUUCAGAGCAAAUUCUUAUAUCAGAACCAUUUUCCCAAAACUCAAGAGAAUAUGAGGCUCAAAACUAGGUACCUAAAAGGAAAUACAACAGAGAAACUUUUCCAUUUAAGAGAUUAGUCUCAGUCCUCUUUAUUAACAACUUCUUAAAAAUAAAAUCAAGCAAACUGGACACUCCCUUUUUAUUUUCUUUUCAAGAUUUAAGAUCAUGCCUCACUAAUAGUAUAUAACUAGCUAACAAAAUUUUUAGGCAAUAUAUAGCAAACUUAAAAAGAGUAAAUGAAAAGGGAAAGGAAUAUUUAGCUGGAUAUAUGAGGGUGCCUCUUCCCCAAGCUGGAUGUUGAUAGUCCUUUGAUGUUAGGAUGUAGAAGACUAGCAAUGGAGAUGCACUUCCUCUAUCAAAGCAUUAAUCUUGAUGACUGUUGAAACCAUGCUCCAAAAGUGCAUAAAACAUCCAAUCAUUUAUCAGCUCUUCUUGGCACUUUCAAAUCCUAUAGAACUCAAAUAGACAACAAAACUUAUGGAACAAAUUAAGCAUUAGUGGUUGUUGUUGAUAUUUCUAAUAUGAUUACAAAAAAGAAAUUCAAACCGUAUCCUAGUAAAGGCAUUAGAAAUAUUCAGGACAUCUCCUAGCAUUGCUUAAGUCAGGUUGUUAUCCCCAACACAACACCAAAAGAUGUGGUUGUACUUAUUAUCAUGGCACUAUAAAAAUGAAUGAAGAUUACCCACAAGCAUACAAAUAAAAUACACCUGUUGUAGCAUUUCACCCAGGAAAGUUUCAGGUAUCGUUAUUUAUAAUUUUACCACUGGGAAGGCACUUGGAGGUAUGAAAGCUAUAUCUUACACUCGUGAUAAGAGUUCCACUAUAUCAAUACUCAAAACAGGGAUCAAUCACAACAUAAAUAAGGAUAAUUAAUAACAGGCCAAUCAUAUCUCAAAAAGGUUCCACCGAGCAUUUUCCUACUUGGGCGUGACUCUAUAAAGAACUAGAAAAUAAAGAGUAACUCCUAGGGUUAUUCUAACUAUAGGUCAUUGAGCUACCUUAAUCAGUGAAGUUAUAUUUAGUAAUCAUAGUCAUGACUUAACUUGUAUCCAUACACAAGAGACGUUGCUAAGAUGGGUCAGGAUCAUAGCAAGACGUCACCCAUCAACUUUGCCUUACUAGUCUUAUAUUGAGGGAGUGGACUACAUAGGACUCAACAAAGCUAUCACCUUGGUGAUCUACCACAUGACCCGGAACAAGGGUGCAUUUGCAUAUAGGCAUUGUCUAAGCACCACGCUUACACAACUUCUACCACCCACCGCUGAUAUCAAAGGGUAAGCACUAUACGAACAAGGGUAUAAACACAAAGCCAAUUCAUCUAUACUAAACAUAUAAUCAAAGUAGGCAAUGAACAUUAUAAUUAUGAAUAUUAAAUUAUACCAAGUCAUAUCAAGUAUUUGACUCAUACACGGACUAUAAUAAGAACUAGAGGGAACAUGAACUAGACAAGAACACGAUGAACUAGACGAACUAGAAAAAAGAACAAGAUGAACUAGACAAUCUAAUUGGCGAACAAGAAUAAAAGAUGAACUAGAAGAUAAACAUAAUGAACUAGAAGACAAAUAACUCAAAUAGAUUAACAAUGUUGAAUACAAAAGAGAAGUACAAGGCUUUACCUAGCCUCCUCACAACUAGAUCUAGAAUCCAAGAAUUGCUUGACUCCUCUAAUUCCUAUUCUUAUAUUCUAGCUAUGCCUUAUUUCGUGGAGCUCUAAACUCAACUAUGAGAUAUGAGAUACGAUUAUAAUGGAUUGAUGCCUCCAGGGGGUCUCCCUCUGCUUAUAUAGUCCGGUGGGAUGAACCGCAACCCUUGGAUCAAACCAACAUAGAACAAGGGUAAGGAUGCGUCUUAGAGGUCGGUUGGAGGCCGCCACACAAAGGAGGGGAGGCUUCUAGGUGGGCCUAGGCUGGCUAGCCUAGCAUGUGGGGCUAGCUGGCCCCACCUGGCCACUGCCGGUCUUCCGCUUCGUUCGUGUGUCUUCUAGUGUCUUCUACAUCCUUCUAGUGCCCCUUUGUGGGGGUACUCUACAUAUACAAAUAUUGAGGUAAAAGAUUAGGCAUCAUAAUCAUAAAUUUAGUAAGAGGACAAAGGAUGAAAUAUUAUUCUAUUACCAUAUUCAUAGCUGCUUCUUUGUGCUGUGCUAGCAUAUUAUGAAAUUCUUGCUUCAUUCUUCUCUUAAGCUUAUAUUAGCAUUUUCUAGCUCCUCUUGCAUCCUCCUCUUAUUUUCUUCUUUCUCCCUUUCCCUUUCCUCAGCUUGUUGCGCCAUCUAUUCUUUGAGCCUCUCGAGUAUUGACGGUGGAUAAGUACUCUUUUUAACCAUCAACAUAGCAUGAGAAAAGACUUAAAUGAGAAUACUGUCUAGCUAUACGGGUUAUCACUAAUAGAAUUCCACAAGUUUUGGUGAUUGUCUAUUUCUGUAGGGGGUUAUCAGAAUAAGAACAAAAGGAGGUCCACAUGUCAGUUUUACAUAGAGAGAACACAUGAAACGUCAACUUAGGAAUACUACAGAAGGCUCAGGAAGACAACACCUGAAAGGUGGGGCCCACUAGCCAUACGGCAGGGGCAGGCGCCCCACACUGUCAGGGGUGGCCACCCGAGGGGUUCAACCAAUCAGGUUGAACCUCAUGGAUCCUGCCUCCACCGACUUUGAGGAUUAAUCUUAAGUGAUCCAAGGGUUGUGGUGCUUCCUAGGGGGCCAUAAAUAAAGACCCUGGCCCCCCUAGAGGAGGAGUUCAUAAUAAUUCUCUGAGAAGAUCAUGAGAAGAAUUAGACACAGAGGGGUCCCUCGAAUGGAUCUGUCUCUAUAGGAUUCUUAGCCACUAUCUCAAUUAGAUCUCUAUAGUUCUUUAGCAUAGCUACAUAGGAAUAGAUCUAGAAGGAGUCAAGUUAAUCUUGGAGUCCCGAUCUAUCUUCAGUUCUUGGUAAACUCUUUUUCUCUUUGUCAUAUUUAUAAUUGUUCUUGCUUUUAUGAAUAUGACUUUGAUCUAUUUGAUUAUAUCAGAAUUGACUUUAUUCUAUUUGCUUAUGUUCUUAAUUAAAUUGUUAUUAGUCUACUUUGAUUAUAUGCUUAGUGAAGUUAGAUUAGAAUUAUGUUUAUGCAUAGGAUCGUAUAGCGCUUACUCAUUAGAUGGAUGGGUAAGUGGUAAUAUUAUGUAGGCGUGGUGCCUACCCCUUAUAGUCCGGAGUUUGAGGUAGAUCACGGGAGUGAUAGUCCUAUUGAGUCCUUUGUAUUCCUUCUCCCGAUUAUAAGGAUUGUAGAACACUAUUACUACACAAAAGUUCUUGCUUUCAUUAUCUUUCUUGCUAAUAUCACUAUGCAUAGAUUUAACCUUUUCCAAUGAUGAUGCUAGGUGUACUUGCACUAGUCAAAGUAUACUUUGACAGUAUAGUUAGGAUUUUAGGAUUUAUUCUUGUAGACUUUCCUAAUACUAUGCUAGUGCUAUAGACUUAGAGUAAUCUAAUUGAGAUGAUUAUCAUGUUUAUCUUAUGGCUAUGAACUCUUAUUUAUCCUCUAUCACUUAUUAUUCAUAUUCAUAUAUUUAUCUUAUGUGGCACUUACCCUACAUGAGAGAUAGAUAAAGGCAUGGUUAAGGUCUCCAUGAUUACAUGCAGUGCUAAUUGCUCAUUUUCCAUUGCAAGUCCCUUCCCAGUGGUAAAAAAUAUAAAUAACGAUACCUGGAAUACUCCUGGUUAAAAUGCUACAUCGGUAUUAUCUAUGCGCUUGCUGUAGGUGUUUUGACCCCGAGGGGGUAGCACCAACGAGUGAAUUUGUAUGCGUGCUCCCUUUUUCGGAUGGUUAUGCAAGAAUAACACAAGGGUUUAUCCUGGUUCGGGCAAAGGAAGGCCCUACGUCUAGCGGGGGGGGGGGGCGAGUGUGUAUUAUCUUGCACCUAAGUGCUUGAACAGGGGCGUAUACAAGUGAAUGUAGUUGAGGGUUCUAAGUCCUAGCUGGUUGUGGUGGUGAGUGAAGCGCCCCCCUUUUCCGUAUAUUUCCCUCAGCGUCCCCUUUUAUAGUUCCAAGGGGAGGCCUAGGUUACAGGAUGUAGGUGUUUGAGUAGGCCACGAUAGGGGUAUGACGCUGACCUACUCGAGGCCUCCGUACCAGCGUGGCCUCGAGCCGUCUUGUUACAGGGUACUUUGGUGAUGAUGGCGCGUGCGUUCCCUGAGCUCUUCUCCUGUACAUCGUCUGGUAUUGGCUUGGGUGCGAGCACGCUUGUACGUCGUGACAGUCACCAUGUCUGGAGUGGUUGAAGCGCUGACUUCUAUCGCUCGAUCCUUCCCUGGGAAGGAGCGUGCCUGCUCGAGGGUCAUGCGGCAUGCGCGCUUUGUUAUAUAGGAGUGCUGACCUUGAACGUCUCGAGGGGUGUCGUGAUGUGAUAUUACGUCUGUUGUACUAUGCCGGUUUGUACUUUUCUCCAAUCUUGAGGAUAAAGCUGGACAAAGUGGGGAUUUGACGUGUGCACGUUCCCCUAUAAUGCUUCCCGUGACUAUCGGGUUAGGUGGGAGCAUGGCAGCCGCAUUAAAUGCCCUAGAUUCCGUACCCACGACAGGCGGCGGGGAAUGCUUUUGCGCUCAAGGCCUCCCGAUUGGCUCGACGCCCUUUCCGUAAUCGACAGUUGCUGGCUAUUGAGCCCAUGGUCAUUCGUUCGACCAUAUUUCCGUAUUGGAGACAAGGGUCAAUAUCGCGUUGUGGGUCGAGCUACGGCUUUGGCGGUCCUGUGUUUGUACAGGGUCGUCGAGCCUGGCCCUCGAGUUAUCUUUGGAUCUUUUCAUUAUGAAUACCUGCUGCAGUACCCCCUAUUGACACCCUCGACAGUAGCUCCCGAGCCCUUGUUUGAGCAGUUGUGCUCGAGCAAGGGUUCUACCGGUCGUCGAAUUUCUGUGGGGGUCGCGCGAGCGACCCCCGUGGGGGUAGCCCCCGAGGCCUUGAAGGAGUCAUGGACUCCUUUGAGGGCUAUAUUGUUCUUUUGGAUCUGAGCAUUCUCUGUUUCUCUUUUUGUUGAGGGGCGUUCAUUCUGGGAGGGAGCCCCCGAAACUAGUUUUCCGAUUUUCACCCUUUUGGGCUAGGAGCAUGUUGAUGCAAAAAUAGAUCUGCAAACACAAAGGGCUAAUACUCGAUUCAAACAUUGAGGCAUGCUAGCCGAUUUGACCUAACAAUCGACAAAGGUGAUAACUUGAAUACUUUGGUCCCAACAACAGCGAUGCGCUUGGAUGCCAUAGCCAAGAGGUACUCAUGCGGAACUCGAGAAUUCGCCGAGUAUUGCUCGAUGAAUCCUUAAGAACUCGUAAACAAAAGAAAAUAUGCGAGUUGACGAAGUCGUCGAAAAGUAGAUGUAAAACUUGUGUAUGAUAUUGAUUGAUUGUUUUUACAUUGCUGCUAGGCCCAUAUUUAUACUUUGUCCUAAAGAGUUACAACUGUAUACGACUAUGAUUUAACUCUAAACAAAAUAGGACUUGUACAUAAAGCAAACUCUAACAGAUAUGGAAAAUAACCACCUAUCCAUCCUGGUGAUUGGCAUAUCACCGUUGUCUUCCUAGCGACCCCCACGCCUUCCUUCAUCGUCAUCAGCACACACCCUGUAUCUCUCUUAACAACUCCCAUACCUUUCCUCAUCGGCAUCGGCAACCAUCAGUAUCAGCAAUCGACAAUGAUCAGCAACUACUGCCAGACUUAGCAAUCUCCUUAUCGGCCAGACACAUCACCUCCUUGACUGCCGAUUAAAUCUUCACUGACCGUCCCGACUUGUGCCCAAAAACAGUGUCAACACAUGCCCCCAAUUUCGGAGUAUGAAAUCAUUAAUGCUCUAAAAUUCUCUCCUGAUAAUGAUGACCUUUUCAUAGUUAUUUCCUUCUGGCAACAAUUAAUUACCAAAUCCAAACAACCUUAAUUCUGACUUUCAUAUCUCAGUGAAUAUCUCACAUUCCUCAACCGUCCGAGCUGAAUCUGAUAGAAACACGCUCAUCGGCAACUGUUCUGUUAGGGCUAACUGCCGAUGGACCGACUGUUGGGCAUUUUUAACGUCAUUACCAAAAGUAGACUUAGUUUUCUAGUUAUGAUAACGGCGCCAAAAAUGCCGAACCUAUCCCUCAUGCCACUUAAGCCAAGUUGUCAUCCCCAGUAUGACAUGAGAGACGCGGUAUUGAAAUAUGCAAUUGCUCUUCUAAAUAAAUAAUAAAUGAGAUCUGCAAGCGCACAGAUUAAUACCGAUGUAGCAUUUUAACCGGAAAGUAUUCCAGGUAUCGUUAUUUAUAUUUUUACCACUAGGAAGGGAUUUCUAAUCAUCAAUGUUGAUUAUGGAAUGGAAUAUAGAAUUGAGUAUCUAUCAUUGCAUUUGUAAUAGAGAGCAUUUAUCUAUCUCUUUCAUACAGGGAUAAAUGUCACAUAAAAUAUAGAUAAAGUAUGAAUGGUGACAAAGAUAAAUAAUCUGAUUAGCAGAACUAGCCACAUAUAAUAAUGAUAAGCACCUCAACAAUAUUCUAGCAAGUCAUUAGCAUGGAAUUAGGAUGAACUACAAGAAUAUUUCCUAAGUCAUUCUUAACCAAAGAUUUAAAUAGCGGGCUAUUUUAUUUCGCGUCAGCCUUGUCCGGACGCUAUAAACGAUAUAGCGCACGCUAUAGCGACGCUAUAGCUUCGCUAUAGCAUCGGAUAUCCACAGUAGCGCCAGGGCAUGCAGCACGCUAUAGCGGCGCUAUUCACACGCUAUAGCGCGCUAUUCAGUUAGAACCUGGCAGAAAAAAAAAAAGGUGACAAAAUUGCAGAACAAGUGCAGCAGAUCAACAUACAAUAGUUUCAGUUUCAUAAAGUCAAGCAAAUAAAGUACAAGACAGCACUGCAGCACACAUGAGUACAUGACUGACAUAACAAUUAACAAGUAACUUGUACAUCUUAACAAGUAUUGAUAACUUAGCACUUAGCAGCAAUGCAGCACACAUGACAUGAUUACUUGAGCUGGACAAACAAAGACCACAGAGACACCUUCAGCAAUCAGCACACAUGACCUCAGUCACUUUGAGCUUCUGUAUCUGAAUUUGAACUUAAGUAGGAUGGGGAUGCCAUAUCAGUGUCAUCUUCUCCAUCAGAAGAUGGAACAGAUAGCUCUUCAUCGUCAGUAGCAGUAGGGAUCAACCUCUUCCUCUUAUUGUUUCUUCUCCUCCUUGUUUCUUCUAGAGGUGCAGCAACUGCAUUUCUCUGUGAUGUUUCUCCCUCCUCCACUACAUCUACCUCUGCUGGCUCAAUGCCAGUGAUCCACUCAUUGUCUUCAUCCUCUAAGGCAUCAACCACUGGUUUCUCAAGGGGAUCCUUAUCCUUGUCAUCCUUCUUUUGCCUCAAUUUUGAGUUGAACUUCACAUAGACUAGAUCCCUCAUUCUGUCAUGAAGCAACCUAUUGCGUUUCUUGGUGUGGACCUACAUAUUAAGUUAAUUAGUUAUGUACUUAAAUGACAUAGAAAUAAAUUAGAAAUGAAAUGAGUAAGUCAGAAGCUGAUUCAUACUUGUUCAAAUGAGCUCCAACAUCUCUCACAAGCUGAUGAACUACAUGUCAAACUUAAUAUUCUAGCAGCUAACUUUCUGAGGUGUGGUGCAAUACUUCCAUGGUUCAGCCACCACUUAGCUAAAUUAGACAAAAAAAGGAAAACAGAAGACAAUUUAAAGUUUGUAUGACAUUUAGAAAUUAGAAUAUUUGAUAAAGGGCAAUUUUCAAACCUGGAUCAAAAUGAAUAUUCUUGCACUGCCUUUUAGCAAUAUCUUUGCCAAAUGAUCCUUCUGCAUCUUGAAACUUUUGGAGCUCUUCAAUGAUCUUGUCUUGAGUCUCUUCAUUUGGAACAAGCUUUGUGAUGCAUGUUAUUACUCCAUCUCUGAAUGACUCAUCCUCCUCUAUAGGUCUCUUGUUUUGAUAAUAGUAGAAGGGGUUCAAGUAGUAGCCAGCCCUAUGUAAAGGUGUCUUCAGCUUACUGUCCCACCUUCUGUCAAUAUACUGAAAAGCUUCCUCAAACUUUUUCCUGUCAUUAUUAAACCUCUUGGAGAUCUCAUUCUUACCCUCUACUAGAUACCCAUACAAGAACCCCAUUGCUGGCACAUCACUAUCCAUUCUCCUCAGCACAGUAGCUAGUGGCUCAAAAUAAUUAACAGCAUUCUGAACUCCUUUCCAGAAAGACUCAGAUGUCACAAUCAUAUGUGCUUUCUUCCCUUUGACUGACUUGAGAUAGCCUAGUUCAUUGAGCUCAUUUUCCCUGAAAAGCCUCUGCAAUUGCCUCUUGUUUUCUAGCAAGCUCUUCAAGUUGAGAUAAGCUGUAGCAAACCUUGUAACACCACACCUAACCAAAUCUCUAGACAAAUACUUCCUCAUUAGGUCUAGAACUCUUGUAUGGGCAUAUAGAAAAACAGUCAAGCACUUUGCUUUGCUAAUUGUUGCUGCAACUCUUGGCAUCUUGCCUAUGUCUUCUAGCAUGAGGUCAAUAGUAUGUGCAGCACAACCAGUCCAGAAAAUAGAGGGGUGCUUUGCUUUCAAGAGACUUGCAGCUGCUUCAUUUGGUCUUGCAUUGUCAGUCACAACUUGAACUACUUUGUCCACCCCUAUUUCCUCAAUACAUCUAUGAACUAGUUCAAAGAUGUAUCUGCCAUCUUUCUUCACAGCUGAACAAUCCACUGAUUCAAGAAAACAAACACCAUAUGCACUAUGAACUACCAAAUUCAUCACACCUCUACCUCUCUUGUCUGUCCAUGCAUCUGUCAUAACUGAGCAUCCAUUUAACUCCCAGGACUCCUGGUGAGACUUCAAUUGCUCCUGCACUUUCCUUUUCCUUUUCUGUAGAAAUUUCCCGCUCAUCUCAUAUGGUGUUGGCCCUCUCAAGUUCCUGCCAAAAUCUCCAAUAGCCUCAAGCAUAAGGUCAAAGCUAGGUAGUGUGACAGUGUUAUGUGGAAUACCUGCUUCAUAAAAGAACUGACAGAUAUACUCACAGGCCCUGUCCCUCUUCUCUUCUCUUUUUUCAGUGGACAGCUUAGACUGGACCUUAUUUUGAACAAUUGUGUUGCCCUUCUUUGCAGCCAGUACUUCUUCUGGUGUUAGUUUAUAAAACUUGUCAAUGGGACCACCCGAAGAAGCCACUGUGCUACUCAGCUUCUUCAUCACAAUAACAGAGUUGCCUUCUCCAUCACUGUGCUCUCCUUCAGAAUGGGACAAAUCAACUCCACCUCUUUCCUCUUCCUUCUCAUGUCUCUUCCUUUCCUUGAUAUCCAUCUUCUUUGACAGCAAGUGCACCAUUUCUUUCUGCACAUCAGAUGGAACUUUAUUGCACUUUGCAACAACAAAUUUAGGAACUUUACCAAGGUGGUACUUCAUUCUAGUGAUUCCACCAUUGUAGAUGUUCCCACAAUAAUUGCACUUCAGAGAAUUUUUCUUGGUGACAUCUGGCAUCAUGCAGUGCUUCCAGGCUGGGUCAGAUAGUUCAACAGGUGCUUCAUUUGGUUGGUUGGCUGUGGAUGCACUGCUGGAUAAGCCUAUAGAACAAUUAAACAAUCUAAUUAUUUACAGAACAACAACAACUAUAUAUACUUAAUUACAUAUAUAGUGCAAGUGUGCAACUAAGCAAGGCAACAGAUUGUCUAAUUCAGUAAUUGCAGUAAUUCAGUAAUUCAGAAUUUCAGAUAAAGUAAACAGAACAAUAACAACUUUAUAUACAAUUCUGAAUUCUCAAAUCCCAAUUCAUCACAUUCACAUUCAUUCACAAUUUCAAUUUUCACAUGAUCACAAUUCACAUCACCGCAACUGUACGUAAACUACGUAUAGAAGAACAGGGGACAAGAACAUGAAAAAAAACUUGCCUAGGGUUGGAGUUGGCGCACUGCCGUCAGGGUCGGACAUUGUUGGGCUUCGGCGUGACUUGACGAGGUAGCAGUAGCACACCUGACGCAGGACCCCAGCUACUUGUUGCUGGCUUGAAGUCCGGUACCACGGCCGCCGUCGUCGCCCAGAUGCCCACUCGACACUUUAGCGUUGCCUUAUGCCGUCCCUCAGCCGCCGUCACUUGGCCUCCAGCUGUCUCACCCGCCGCCGUCACCUUGUCGUCGGGCCGCCGCAGUCGCCUACAGCCUACCUAUCGCGGGUGCCCAGCCGCCGCAAUGGAACGAGGACAGACGAGUGUGCUGUGUUGACUGCUCUAGGGUUAGAGCAGAGGAGUCGCCGUCGCCUUGACUAGAGCCGCAGUUGGGCCGUAGUUGGGCUGAAUCCCAUCGGGCCGCCGUUUUUUUGGGUCCAUCCAUCGAAACAGCAGUAGCGCAGGAAUAGCGUCGCUAUGGUGCUAAACGGGGUUAGCGGCGCUAAAGCGCGCUUUAGUAUCAAAAUCGUGGUUAGCGUAGAAAACGACGAUACCGUUGCGUCACCUGUCUCACGCCGCUAUAGCGCCGCGAUAGCGUCAAAAUAGCGCGCUAUUUAAAUCCAUGUUCUUAACUAUAAAGUCUAGCAUAUCAUAAUUAGUGCAAUUAUACUCGGCAAUCAUUGCGAGACAGGACUACGCCCAUGCAUAGUGAUAUUAUCAAGGAAAAUGAGAAACAUGGCAAUCACUCCCUUGUAAUAAUGUUGCUCUACUUGCCCUAUACACGAGAGGAGGACUAUAUAAGAAUGGAUGGAGCUGUCACUACCACGAACUACCCUGCGAUCUGGCAUAUAGGGUACGAUCACAGAUAAAUACGGUAUAAGCACCACGCCUACACAAUACUUAUCAUUUUCCCACUGUACACAUGGAUAAACGCUAUACGAUCCUAAACAUGUAUACAAUUCCAAUCUAACUAAGCCAAGCAUAUAACUAUGAUAAACUAAGAACAAUAUAAUUGCAAAUAUAAACAAGUAGAGCAAAGUCAUAAUCAAUAUAUCUCAUAUUCAUAAUAUUGAAGAAUAAAGAUGAACAAUUGAAGAAUAGUAGAGGAAUUACCAAGAAUCCUCUUGACAGAUCCAGAAACCAAUUGAAGAUUGACUCCUUCUAGUGCUAAUCCUAUGUACCUAUGCUAAACUAGAUAUCUAUUGAUGUGGUGUCUCUAGGGCUUGAUCAGAGGCUUCUUCUCCCGAGAUGGAUAAAUGAAUUAGGGUUUCUCCUGUCCUCUCCUCCAGGGGCCAGGGGGUCUGCUUAUAUAGUCCCUCCAAAUGAAUAUGGACCGUCGGAUCAAACCGACAUUAAUCGCACGGUUUUCCUUAAUCCCUUAGGUCGGUGGAGCAUGAUCCGCGAGGUGGGAGCUGAUUGGCCCUCAGGCCAGGGUGGGCGCCCAAGGGGGGAGGGGGGGCGCCCUGCCCCUGGGCCCGAUUGGCCUCCCGCUCGUUCCCGUGGCUUCUGGACUCUUCUAGAUGUUGGAUAAUUGCGGUGCACAUUAAUAUCUCUAUGUAAACCCGACGUGUGGGCCUUUCCUCCAUAUUUCCUGAUAACCCCCUGCAGAAAUAGACAAAUACCAAAACUCAUGGAAUUCUGUCAGAUAAAACCCUAAGUCUGGGUAUAGGUUGCAUUUGGAUCCUUUUCUUUGUUUAUUUGUUGAUUAUAUUUGAUACUUAAGGACCGUCAACAAAUUCCCCCAAGCUUACCUCUUGCUCGUCCCUGAGCAAGGAUAAUCUCAGUGAUGGAUCAGAAGUUGUGUAAUGCCUUUUAAUUUUGAUGGUACACAUGCUUUCAAAUAAGGUCUCAUCUCUGAGUCAGAGUAAACCGUCAAGACUUAAAACUUACUCAUUUUACCUUUCACCAUGGCACUUGUAACCGUCACUUCUGUCUUGAGCAGUUAAAAGAUAGAACGGUCUAGUCAAGCGCCAUGUCUCUUAUUCUUGAUCAGCUUAUAGCUCUGGAGUUUUUUUGAAGAUUUUCAAAUAAAACUCAGAGAUUCCUUGUAUGACUCUCUCAGAUGUCUCUUUUGUGGUAUUUCUGGAUCCUUACCAAGGCAGUGAUGGUAUAUGCCUUCUCUCAAAGUAGGUAGUAUUUGUGCUAUGAAGCAUAGUAACCUUGCCUUCUCUCUCAUCCUAUUUUAAUAAGGCUUUUGAUAUCUAGAGCUCAUAGGUGGGAGAUAAAGUAUACAUGCUUACAAGACAUUUAUUGCAUAGUCAAACCAUGGAUCCAUAGAAACAAGUCAAUAAGUCAAAUCAAGAUGUGCAUGUGUGGCGAAUGAAUGGUGUAUGGUGAUAACAAUGGUGAAAGUCUAAUUCUACUUGUGCUCUUUUGAGGGGAUACAUACCUUUCUUGCUCUUUUGAAACUUUUGAGGAGAAUGAGAUGCUCUAUAUUUUCUUUUUCUUUCCUCUCAGGUGGGUAUCUUGUAAGCCUAAUUCUACUAUUGGACACUUGUCUAUUUUUACCUUUUGUCUCACUUUUUCUUUUCUUUUGAGGUUCCGGGCGCUUGUGUAACAUCCCACAAAUUCACAUUGAAAAAUCACUCGCAUUAAAAAUUAUUUUCAAAAUAUAUUUCAAAAACUAUAAAUCAUUUGAGCUCUAUAGUAUCUCCAUCCAAUUCCUUUUCAUCCAUCUCAGUUAUCCAUCUUCAAAUAUAACCUGCGCCACAUGACAUGAGCAUCAUAUGUCCGCUACUCAUCUCUCUCGCUCGCUCGCUUGCCCGAUACCCGGCAACGGCGCGUGCGCCGACCCCACCACCAUCAGCGCCGCAGUGCACUCGCGCCCAGCACCCUCGCAGAGUGCACUCGGUCGCACGCGCACCGCGACAUGUGGGCCCCACCUCUCACCCUUUUCCCGCUCCUCUUUUGCUGUACAAAAAGAUAGCAAGUCGCAACACACAACUAGGCACCAUCUAUAUUUUUUUCGCGCAUAAAUAACAGCAAGUACCAGCAAGCUUACAUGCAAGA
rnacentral:lncRNA from 1 species